rnacentral:rRNA from 1 species
UACGUAAGGUGCAAGCGUUAUCCGGAAUCAUUGGGCGUAAAGCGUUCGUAGGCGGUUUGUUAAGUUUGUGGUUAAAUCUGGUCGCUCAACGAUCAAAUCGCCGCAAAAACUAGCAAACUAGAGUAUGGCAGAGGCAACUGGAAUUCCACAUGUAGGGGUAAAAUCCGUAGAUAUGUGGAGGAACACCAAAAGCGAAGGCAGGUUGCUGGGCCAUUUCUGACGCUGAGGAACGAAAGCGUGGGGAGCAAACAGG